GACGAACGCUGGCGGCGUGCUUAACAAAUGCAAGUCGAACGGACGGGCCAGGCUCUUGCUGGGUGGUCGUGUGGCGAGCGGGUGAGUAACACGUGAGUAAAAUGCCCUUGACUGUGGGGUAAAUUCAGGAGACAGGGGCGAAUACAGGAUAGGAGCUCCUGAAGCAUGGGGGGGAAAGGAAAGAGACGGCGGUGGGGGAUGGACUAGAGGCUUAUCAGCUGGUUGGUGGGGUAGUGACGUACCACGGCUUUGAAGGCUAGCCGGCAUAAGAGGGUGACCGGCCACAUUAGGACUGCGAGACGGCGCAGACUCCUACCGGACGCAGCAGUGGGGAGUAUUGCGCAAUGGGCGGACGCCUGAUGCAGCGACGCCGCGUGCGUGAUGACCGCCUUCGGGUUGUAAACCGCUUUCUCCGGUGCCGAAGCGUGAGUGACGGUAACGGGUAAAGAAGCACCGGCUAACUACGUG
rnacentral:rRNA from 1 species